CCGAGAGUGCUGAGGGAACUGGCGGAGGAGAUAGCCGAGCCACUUUCCGUCACCUAUGAGCGCUCCUUGUUGACGGCUAUUUUUUUCUACUCAAAUGUCACAGUUAAUAAGUUUUAGAAGAUUAGUAUUUUAUACGUCUGUGGAAAAAAAAAGUCUCUGUAUCCCAAAAGAGCAGAGUGGGGGGAGUUCCUGCUGAUAGCAAUUUUGACAGCUCUAUCUCUGGGUCUCUUAGCCAUGGUUUUUAUAGACACUGAUGAAAUUCCACCUGAGCCUCACGAUCAUCCCUAAGCAUCUCAUAUAAGUACAAUUCUUCUAUAAAGCUACAAAAAUUCAGAUAGAACUGUGUUCCUAGAGCCAUUAAACUUUCAAGUUCAUGGUUCUUUUUCCUUUUUCUGCAGAAAUCCCAACACAUCUGUUCAUCAACCCCACCUCCAGCUGAGAGAAAGGUAGUGAUGGAUUGCAGAGUCCUGCUCCACAUUCUGUUAAUCUUGGCACUGCCUUCCUCUUCAGAUUCGAAAUACAGGAACUGCAAGUUGCUAUUGUUCCACUAUUCUGUCCUCUUGUGAUGUCAAAGAAAAGAGGGGAGGAGGGCUGCUUUGAUUUGACUUGAGCUAGCAUUAAGGUCCUUGAUUUGGAUAUCAGCUGCCACAGUGUAAUGCAGUGUAAGUAGGAGGCAAUGCUAAGGCACAGGUGUGGCAAAUGCAUACUUGAGAACUAGGGCAAAAUUUUGUGAAAUGUUACUAAAUUUUUCAGGAGAACUUCCUUCUGACAACUACAAAAUGAAAAUUAAGCUAUGCUUUCAAAAGAUUUCAAUAGAUUUUGGACAAUGCACAGAUGUGGAUUUUGUUUGUUUUGUUUUGUUGCAUUUUACUUUGUUUUUCACUGGCCGUAAAUAAAAAGUUAUU
rnacentral:lncRNA from 1 species